rnacentral:lncRNA from 1 species
CUUGGAUUUCACGUGCUGGUGGGAAACCGAGAGUGGCUGUACAUGAACCUCUCCUGGGGCAUUCCUGAGCCCCCUUUUCCUUUCCUUUCAGAGCCAGCAGUGUUCAUUGAAUGAAGGACAACUGACACCCUGUAGCACUAAGGGACAGAUGUGGAGUGGCUGUUGCCAACACAUACCUACUCCAGAGGAGAAGAAAUCACAGGCAGGGGCUGGGGGUGACACAGCAGAGCCCUGGCAGUCACACAUCACACCCCAGCCCAGCUGGCAGCACCUGUACAAGAGCAGUAGUUGGCUGAGUCAAGAACAAACUGAACUGAAGCUACAGGGUGAUUUGAAAACCAACGUGCCAAAGGAAAUAUCAGUUCCUGUGCUACCUGCAGCUCCUUAAUCUCAUCUCCCACUGGAGGUGCAGCACCUGCUGACCUGCAUUUGCUGGGGCUGUCAUGGUGUCACUGCU